rnacentral:rRNA from 1 species
AAUCAACGCUGGCGGCGUGCCUCAGACAUGCAAGUCGAACGCGAAAGUCCCCCUCGGGGGGACAAGUAGAGUGGCGCACGGGUGAGUAACACGUAGGUAAUCUACCUUCGGGUGGGGAAUAACAAUCGGAAACGGUUGCUAAUACCGCAUAAUGCAGCGGCACCUAAUGGUGACAGUUGUUAAAGCGGGGGAUCGCAAGAUCUCGCGCCUGAAGAGGAGCCUGCGGCGGAUUAGCAGUUGGUAGGGUAAUGGCCUACCAAGGCGACGAUCCGUAGCCGGCCUGAGAGGGCGGUCGGCCACACUGACACUGACGUACGGGUCAGACUCCUACGGGAGGCAGCAGUCGGGAAUUUUGGGCAAUGGGCGAAAGCCUGACCCAGCAACGCCGCGUGAAGGAUGAAAUCCCUCGGGAUGUAAACUUCGCAAGAACGGGAAGAAUAAGUUUGUGCUAAUACCACAAGCGAUGACGGUACUGUUUGUAA